rnacentral:rRNA from 1 species
UACGUAGGGUGCGAGCGUUAAUCGGAAUUACUGGGCGUAAAGGGCGCGUAGGCGGCCUGUUAAGUCGAACGUGAAAUCCCCGGGCUCAACCCGGGAACUGCGUCCGAUACUGGCAGGCUCGAAUCCGGGAGAGGGAUGUGGAAUUCCAGGUGUAGCGGUGAAAUGCGUAGAUAUCUGGAGGAACACCGGUGGCGAAGGCGGCAUCCUGGACCGGUAUUGACGCUGAGGCGCGAAAGCCAGGGGAGCAAACGGG